rnacentral:rRNA from 1 species
GACGAACGCUGGCGGCGUGCUUACNACAUGCAAGUCGAACGGAAAGGCCUGCAGCUUGCUGCGGGUACUCGAGUGGCGAACGGGUGAGUAACACGUGGGUGAUCUGCCUUGCACUUCGGGAUAAGCUUGGGAAACUGGGUCUAAUACCGGAUAGGACAGCUGUUUAGUGUCAGUUGUGGAAAGUUUUUUCGGUGCAAGAUGAGCUCGCGGCCUAUCAGCUUGUUGGUGGGGUAAUGGCCUACCAAGGCGUCGACGGGUAGCCGGCCUGAGAGGGUGUACGGCCACAUUGGGACUGAGAUACGGCCCAGACUCCUACGGGAGGCAGCAGUGGGGAAUAUUGCACAAUGGGCGGAAGCCUGAUGCAGCGACGCCGCGUGGGGGAUGAAGGCCUUCGGGUUGUAAACUCCUUUCGACAGGGACGAAGCGUAAGUGACGGUACCUGUAUAAGAAGCACCGGCUAACUACGUGCCAGCAGCCGCGGUAAUACGUAGGGUGCGAGCGUUGUCCGGAAUUACUGGGCGUAAGGAGCUCGUAGGUGGUUUGUCGCGUCGUCUGUGAAAUUCCGGGGCUUAACUCCGGGCGUGCAGGCGAUACGGGCUGACUUGAGUGCUGUAGGGGAGACUGGAAUUCCUGGUGUAGCGGUGAAAUGCGCAGAUAUCAGGAGGAACACCGAUGGCGAAGGCAGGUCUCUGGGCAGUAACUGACGCUGAGGAGCGAAAGCAUGGGUAGCGAACAGGAUUAGAUACCCUGGUAGUCCAUGCCGUAAACGGUGGGCGCUAGGUGUAGGGGGCUUCCACGUCUUCUGUGCCGUAGCUAACGCAUUAAGCGCCCCGCCUGGGGAGUACGGCCGCAAGGCUA